rnacentral:rRNA from 1 species
AUUGACUGGGCGUAACGAGCUCGUAGGUGGCUUGUCGCCGUCGUCUGUGAAAGUCUSGGGCCUAACUCCGGGUGUGCAGGCGACACGGGCUGGCUUGAGUGCUGUAGGGGAGACUGGAAUUCCUGGUCGUAGCGGUGGAAUGCGCAGAUAUCAGGAGGAACACCGAUGGCGAAGGCAGGUCUCUGGGCAGCCACUGACGCUGAGGAGCGAGAGCAUGGGUAGCGAACAGGAUUAGAUACCCUGGUAGUCCAUGCUGUAAACGGUGGGCGCUAGGUGUGGGGACUUUCCAUGGUUUCCGUGUCGUAGCUAACGCGUUAAGCGCCCCGCCUGGGGAGUACGGCCGCAAGGCUAAAACUCAAAGGAAUUGACGGGGGCCCGCGCAAGCGGCGGAGCAUGUGGAUUAAUUCGAUGCAACGCGAAGAACCUUACCUGGGUUUGACAUGCACUAGAUUAGGCGAGAGAUCGUCUGUCCCUUUGUGGCUGGUGUGCAGGUGGUGCAUGGUUGUCGUCAGCUCGUGUCGUGAGAUGUUGGGUUAAGUCCCGCAACGAGCGUAACCCUUGUCUUAUGUUGCCAGCACGUUGUGGUGGGGACUCGUGAGAGACUGCCGGGGUGAACUCGGAGGAAGGUGGGGAUGACGUCAAAUCAUCAUGCCCCUUAUGUCCAGGGCUUCACACAUGCUACAAUGGCCGGUACAGUAGGUUGCGAGACCGUGAGGUGGAGCUAAUCGCGUGUUAAAGCUGGUCGUAGUUCGGAUUGG